rnacentral:rRNA from 1 species
GUCAGUGUUACAAACGCGCAGGGUCCACCCGUUCCCAUUCCGAACACGGAAGUUAAGCUGCGCAGUGCUGAAGAUACUCGGCUGGAGACGGCCCGGGAAAAUAGGUCAAUGCUGACA